GAAAUAUUUAAAAUAGAACUUCUAAUUCUCUUAAAAGAUAAAAAUUAUAUCUAUAUUUCU
rnacentral:tRNA from 1 species